CACUGGGCAUGGGCGACAGUCCAAGUGGGCUGUGCUGGAGUCUGAUCAACAUGAUCAAGCGCCACGGAAAAAUUAUACAGUACGUCCUACGUCACCAUGGUCACGGUUCCUUCGAUGCGCAUAGCAACGGUGCAUGCACACUGUACUAAAAAUCGCAAAAGAAAUCGUCCUCUCCACAGAACCAGUUGCCAGUGGCAACACAUGCAAGUCGCAUACGCGCGUCGCAUGCAUGCACUUGACUUUGAUUCUUCUUUGUUGUUUUCAGUGUUUUCUCUUUCUCAUUGAUCUCGACAGUGUUGUGGUGCUCGUUAUCUUACUGAGACAUCUCUUGUGACCGUGGUCAGUGUCACCAACGGCGCAACGCGGCGGAGCGCCGGGAUCGAGCGUGGAAAAACGCUCUGCAUUAGCAGCUCCUGUAGUGAAAAAUGUUUUCUGCGAUGGCACGUCCAAAGUCAACAGAGCCAAGGUGCAAGCGAGCAUGAGAGAUUUCGUAUAGGAUGUGAGCUCAAGACGAUAAUGUGGGCAAAUGUAAAACUACCAACUGGAGUGUGCUCUGGUGUUAGGGACGUGUCCCAAAGUGUCAUCACAUGGCUGUGGAGACUAGUACACACAUGGAGGAAUAUUUCUACAACAGUGAUACGGAGUGAUAUGGAGAACAGAUGGAUGGAUAGAAAAGAAAACUGAGAUGAUGGGAACGCUUCCAAAGACCCUUGGAGUGCCUGAGGACAUUGGUCACAUCGUACGGGAGCGACGUUUGCGCUGGCUUGGACACGUGACACGGAUGGAAGAUCACAGGUUGCCCAAGUGUGUUCUCUUCGGUGAACUGCCUGCCCCGCGUCCCGCGCAUGGUCCAGGCAAGAGGUGGAGGGACGUCAUUAUGGAUGACGUUUCGUCGGUUGAGCCACCGGUACCAACAUGUUGAUGGUACGGUGCAGCCCAGAACAGUCCGGAGUGGCGUACCAUUGCCCGUCGACCACCCAAGGCACCCUCUGCUGCUGGCUACGGUUGCGCCUGCGGCCGCAUGUUCCGUCGAAGCGGCGACCUGAAACGCCAUCAGUCGUUCUGUUGUGGACUGGAGAAAUAACUAUGCGCUAUCAUUGCUACGCAAUGGGCAAGGUCAAGGUGUGUGUGUGUACAGCAUGUGUGUGUGUGUACAGUAUGUGUGUGUGUGUAUGUGUGUGUGUGUGUGUGUACAGUGUGUGUGUGUGUGUGUGUGUGUGUGUGUGUGUGUGUGUGUGUGUAUAGUAUGUGUGUAUGUGUGUGUGUGUGUGUGUGUGUGUUUGCACAGUAUAUGUGUGUGUGU